AACAAAAAAAAAAAGAGAAAUUAAAAUUUAAAGACAAAGCAAAAGAGAAGAGAAAAUGUUCGCGUACUUCGCUUAGCGCACACUUUUAAAGUGAAUGCUCCGUUGUGACGUAGCCGCUGUAAGUUUUGCCUUUUUUUUGAAACAACCUAUUGUAUACUUAUUGUCUUAUUAGUCGUAGUCAUCCAAUAUAUCCAUUCGGAGCGAGCGCCGCUGCGAGCCUAAACUAUUUUUAUGUAACUUGCAUGUACUUGUACUCGUACGAUACUUACUCAUAAGUAGUUGUUGUCUAGUUUGUUUUAUUCAAAUUCAAAUAAAAUACAAAAUUAUAUCAAAUACAAUUCGUUUUAUUUGCAUAAAGAAUGGACAACUGUGCCUCAAGGUUAAAUAAAAGACUAAAUACACAGUAUGAACAUACAAUUACGUCACAAGCUUAUAUAUCAUGUGUACUUGGUUGGAUUGGACGGGUCAGCGGACUGGCAGAGAGCAUUUAUCCAGAGAGUGAGCAGUAUGGAUAUUCAUCGUCAUACAUACAUAUAAACAUGGAGUGCAGGUUGCAGCUAAACCGAUGAGCGAGCAUGCGUUAAGCCAUUGGUUGUAACAUCUUUGAUCCCGUUAUCCAAGGCACAAACGAAGAGAGCGAGCAUAGUGGAUGGGGUGUGAGCGAUUUCUUAGUUGUCACUGUAUUAGUGCAAAUGCCGGCUUAGCGUAGGCGGCAGCUUGGUGAGAGCAUUUAGUCUGUGCGCAUUAGACUAUUUGAUCGGUCGCGUCCGCUGUGCAGUUUGUGUAAAGUGCGAUAUAUAUUUAUAUUCCAAUCGUU